rnacentral:rRNA from 1 species
CCUACGGGUGGCUGCAGUGGGGAAUUUUGGACAAUGGGCGCAAGCCUGAUCCAGCUAUUCCGCGUGUGGGAUGACGGCCCUCGGGUUGUAAACCACUUUAGUAGAGAACGAAAAGGAGCUAUCGAAUAAAUAGCUCUGCUGACGGUACUCUACGAAUAAGUAUCGGCUAACUAUGUGCCAGCAGCCGCGGUAAUACAUAGGAUGCAAGCGUUAUCCGGAUUUACUGGGCGUAAAACGAGCGCAGGCGGGUUAACAAGUUUGGUAUGAAAGGCUUUUGCUUAACGAAAGUUUGUAUCAAAAACUGUUAAUCUAGAGUGUAGUAGAGAGUUCUGGAAUUCCAUGUGGAGCGGUGGAAUGCGUAGAUAGAUGGAAGAACACCAGUGGCGAAGGCGAGAACUUAGGCUAUCACUGACGCUUAGGCUCGAAAGUGUGGGGAGCAAAUAGGAUUAGAUACCCCAGUAGUC